CCUGUCUGUCUCCUUCCCGACACUGACGGAUUGCCAGAUCCGCAGUAGCUCGUGCCCAUACCCGGGGUGGAGAGAAGGGGCCAUUACUGAUAGUUGAAA
rnacentral:ribozyme from 1 species